rnacentral:lncRNA from 1 species
CAGAAUUCCAGACUUAGCCAAUUUUUCAGCAUUUUCAGCCUUUAUCCUUUUUUUACUCCGUUUUCGCUCGUUUUCGCUCGUUUGACCUCCGUUUCUUUUCAAAUCGAACCGAGACUCUCCAAACAUGUUUUCAAACAUGUUUUCAUCAUCUUUUCAUCCACGCUAAUGCCGGAUUUAGUCAACGGUCCAACAUAGCCUUCCGGGUUCCGUUCUCGCGCCCUAUGCGCAUCGAAGCACCCGAAAUGCUCCCGAACUUCGCCGGAAUGAUUCCAAUGGCUUUCUAAGCUAACAUAUA